rnacentral:tRNA from 1 species
GCUCAGUUGGUUAAGUGUCCGACUCUUGAUUUUGAUUCAAGUCAUGAUCUUAGGGUCAUGGGAUUGAGCCCCAUAUUGCGCU